UGAGUGGAGGAGUGUGACCACACUUUCUUUGUUGAUGUCUUUGGUAGCGGCAGCUAGCUGUGCCAGGCCGUCCGCUGCGAUGUUCCGUGCCCUGGUGAUUUGUUCGAAGCGGCACUCGUCGAAUGUAGCCAUCAAUUUGUGGAUUUCUGACUGAUACUUUUGCAACCUUUGCUCUUUGAUUUGAUAAGUCCCAGCGAUCUAGUUUACCACGAGCUGGGAGUCGCAGUGGAGGAGAUUCGGCGGGCCCCAUAUUUGGUCGCCAUGUUCAGGCGUGCAAUAACGAUCUCGUACUCGGCCUGGUUGUUAGUCAUUUCCGGGCAUCGUAUGGACUGGCGAAUCGUUUCGCCCGUGGGGACUUCAAGAACGAGUCCCAGUCCCGAUUCCGAUGCAUUGGCGACGCCAUCCGUAUAAAGGACCCAUUGGUCGUUUUCG
rnacentral:lncRNA from 1 species